AGCCACGCAGUGGGCACAAAGCGAACUAUUCUUUCGCCUUUUACUAAAGAAUAUCGUGUGCACGCUGCAAAUAGUGGCAUACGCCAAUUUUUGGAGGGUUGCAUCUUUUAGAUACAC
rfam:Ipomoea nil DNA, scaffold: scaffold3314, cultivar: Tokyo-kokei standard.